rnacentral:rRNA from 2 species
GUCGAACGCGCACCUUCGGGUGUGAGUGGCAGACGGGUGAGUAACGCGUGGGAAUUUACCUCAAGCUUUGGGAUAACACAGAGAAAUUUGUGCUAAUACCGGAUGUGCUGAUAUAAAGGGAUUUAUGUCGGGAAAGAUUUAUCGGUUUGAGAUAAGCCCGCGUUGGAUUAGCUAGUUGGUAGGGUAAUGGCCUACCAAGGCGACGAUCCAUAGCUGGUCUGAGAGGAUGAUCAGCCACACUGGGACUGAGACACGGCCCAGACUCCUACGGGAGGCGGCAGUGGGGAAUAUUGGACAAUGGGCGCAAGCCUGAUCCAGCCAUGCCGCGUGAGUGAUGACGGCCUUAGGGUUGUAAAGCUCUUUCACCGGAGAAGAUAAUGACGGUAUCCGGAGAAGAAGCCCCGGCUAACUUCGUGCCAGCAGCCGCGGUAAUACGAAGGGGGCUAGCGUUGUUCGGAUUUACUGGGCGUAAAGCGCGCGUAGGCGGAUAUUUAAGUCAGGGGUGAAAUCCCGGGGCUCAACCCCGGAACUGCCUUUGAUACUGGAUAUCUUGAGUAUGGAAGAGGUGAGUGGAAUUCCGAGUG